rnacentral:rRNA from 1 species
GAUGAACGCUAGCGAUAGGCCUAACACAUGCAAGUCGAGGGGCAUCACAUGAAGUAGCAAUACGGAUGGUGGCGACCGGCGCACGGGUGAGUAACACGUAUGCAACCUGCCUUCAACAAGGGGAUAACCCGUUGAAAGACGGACUAAUACCCUAUAACACAGGGGUCCCGCAUGGGGAAUAUUUGUUAAAGGACAACCGGUUGAAGAUGGGCAUGCGUUCCAUUAGCUAGUUGGCGGGGUAACGGCCCACCAAGGCAACGAUGGAUAGGGGAACUGAGAGGUUUAUCCCCCACACUGGUACUGAGACACGGACCAGACUCCUACGGGAGGCAGCAGUGAGGAAUAUUGGUCAAUGGACGCAAGUCUGAACCAGCCACGUCGCGUGAAGGAAGACGGCCCUACGGGUUGUAAACUUCUUUUGCAAGGGAAUAAAGUGGGCCACGUGUGGCCUUUUGCAAGUACCUUGCGAAUAAGGAUCGGCUAACUCCGUGCCAGCAGCCGCGGUAAUUACGC